CUAAUUAUCAUAUUAUGGAUCUCAGGUUUUAUGUAAGUAUUGAUGUUUAAAUUCAUCUUAUAUGGUAACCACAUGUCAUGUUUUAAGUAACUCUAAUAAUUCUACUCUCGUCUCGGACCAUAGUGACCGACUUCACAAGAAAGCCAAAGCAACAUCUACUGUUUGACACUAAGCGCGAGAUGAUGGCAAAAAUGUGUGACUGCUGGCCAGGGAUGGAGUUCCAUGUGUUAGCCUACAACUCGAUUUUUAUACCAUAUCGUAGAUCUGGACAAUGCUACAUGCUAUUUGUGUUUAACAUGGAUGAACAAACCGUUACUCUACUUGAUCCCUGUCCUGCACCGGACAUGUCUAAACAAAGACUUCAUGACUACUAUGUAAGCAAGCUAAAAGAAAUAUCAUUCUACCUAAACAUUGCUCUUCAAGACGCAAUUAAAGGCUGGAACGAUGACGUUUUCUAUUGGUGUCGCAUCACACCAUGUCGGUUGCCAAUGAACCAUGACAGGUUAGAAUCCAUGGCAUUAUACGUAGUUUUCUAGAUCUUGUCUACAAUUUAGCUAACAACAAUGUGUACUUUCUAUAUAGCCGCAUGUCCGGAUUUUUGGUUCUAACAUAUAUGCGUUGGUGGAAUGGUAAAGAAGUUGUCCGAGCAAAUGGCAAGGUGGGUAUCGAAUUAAAAUCUAUCUACAAUACUGUAAGUUUGACUUUUUCUGCAGUAUUGAUGUGUAAUCCAUGUGCAGGUUGGUUACACCCUACGGAACAAAGCGGUUGUACACAUGCUUUCGUACAAGGACAACGAGUGUGAAGCCAACGUUCCGCAAUUUGUUACAUAUUUGGUCAACAUAGUUGGGUCAGAUUUUUUUCUUUGAAAAGUUGCUGGUUCAGCUAUUGUGAUGUCCUAAAUCAUGAUGUCCGAACAAGAGUAAUGCUAUUAUCAGUACCAUAACUACGAUUUUGUAGUAAAUCUUUGUAAAUAGUCUUGGGCACAGUCCAAGCACGAGUAAUGCUAUUAUCACUUUUUAAA